rnacentral:snoRNA from 1 species
CACUCCUGUUUCUGCCUCAUAUUCCCUUCCAUGGAAUCAUGGGUCUAAUUAUGGAGGAGAGGAAGCCUUCCAUCGGACAAAUGGCUUUGAUACAUUCGUUUGACCCGAUGGCUGGAUCGUGCCCACAUUCGUCGUGCUCCCGAGCUUGCUCUGGAAGACGGAUUGGGGCUACAGCU